UACGAAGGGGGCUAGCGUUGCUCGGAAUCACUGGGCGUAAAGCGCACGUAGGCGGAUCUUUAAGUCAGGGGUGAAAUCCCAAGGCUCAACCUUGGAACUGCCUUUGAUACUGGGGAUCUCGAGUCCGGAAGAGGUUGGUGGAACUGCGAGUGUAGAGGUGAAAUUCGUAGAUAUUCGCAAGAACACCAGUGGCGAAGGCGGCCAACUGGUCCGGUACUGACGCUGAGGUGCGAAAGCGGUGGGGAGCAAACAGGG
rnacentral:rRNA from 1 species